rnacentral:rRNA from 1 species
CCUUGACCCCAGGUCAGGCAGGGCUACCCGCUGAGUUUAAGCAUAUCAAUAAGCGGAGGAGAAGAAACUUACGAGGAUUCCCCUAGUAACGGCGAGCGAACCGGGAAGAGCCCAGCUUGGGAAUCGGGCGGCCGUGCUGCCUGAAUUGUAGUCUGGAGAAGCGUCCUCAGCGACGGACCGGGCCCAAGUCCCCUGGAAAGGGGCGCCAGGGAGGGUGAGAGCCCCGUCCGGCCCGGACCCUGCCGCACCACGAGGCGCUGUCGGCGAGUCGGGUUGUUUGGGAAUGCAGCCCCAAUUGGGCGGUAAAUUCCGUCCAAGGCUAAAUACCGGCGAGAGACCGAUAGCGAACAAGUACCGCGAGGGAAAGAUGAAAAGGACUUUGAAAAGAGAGUCAAAGAGUGCUUGAAAUUGUCGGGAGGGAAGCGGAUGGGGGCCGGCGAUGCGUGCUGGCCGGAUGCGGAAUGGCCCCUUCCUGGGGCCGGUCCGCCGCUCGGC